AGAGUUUGAUCCUGGCUCAGAUUGAACGCUGGCGGCAUGCCUUACACAUGCAAGUCGAACGGCAGCACGGGGGUAACCCUGGUGGCGAGUGGCGAACGGGUGAGUAAUACAUCGGAACGUGUCCUGUAGUGGGGGAUAGCCCGGCGAAAGCCGGAUUAAUACCGCAUACGAUCUACGGAAGAAAGGCCGGGGGAUCGCAAGACCUCGCGCUAUAGGGGCGGCCGAUGGCAGAUUAGCUAGUUGGUGGGGUAAAGGCCUACCAAGGCGACGAUCUGUAGCUGGUCUGAGAGGACGACCAGCCACACUGGGACUGAGACACGGCCCAGACUCCUACGGGAGGCAGCAGUGGGGAAUUUUGGACAAUGGGGGANACCCUGAUCCAGCAAUGCCGCGUGUGUGAAGAACGCCUUCGGGUCGUACAGCACUUUUGUCCGGAA
rnacentral:rRNA from 1 species